rnacentral:lncRNA from 1 species
CAAAUAAUGAAACAGGUUACAGAAGGAAGCUAUGAGAACAUCAUCUGUGAAACUCUUUAAAUCCGGGAUGCAUUUUCAACAGCUUGAAGAAUGGAGUGAGGGAUGGAGCACGCUGGCCUCAUAGAAACCACACCACAUUAAGUUCCAGCAACUGCAGAAGGCUUCUUUGGAUCCAUCUGCUGGGGAUUCACAGCGAGCUACCAUACUCUCUCACACACAGCUUUCCAUGGCCAGCGAAGAGGAAGGAGCCCAGGCUAUGCAUCAGAGAAGCAAGGAAUCUAUAUCAUCAUCCCACCUCACCUCUGCCAAAGAUGUUUAAAAAAGAAGUGGAUUGCA